rnacentral:rRNA from 1 species
AUGGCGAGACCCAAAGGUGAAGGAGGUAUGGGCUUUCGAGAUCUAAGAUUAUUUAAUCAAGUACUUCUCGCAAAACAAGCCUGGCGAUUGUUGGUUUUUCCAGACUCUUUAUGUGCAAAGGUGAUGAAAGCAAAGUACUAUCCUCAUGGGCACCUUCUGGACACUGUAUUCCCUCAGGUGACAUCGACUACUUGGCAAGGUAUUAUGCAUGGUCUUGAACUACUGAAAAAAGGUAUCAUUUGGAGAGUUGUCGAUGGCACGAGUAUAAAUAUCUGA